CACGUCUCUUCUUUAAAUCUCGUUUUAGCUUUAAAGUAGUCCCAUUGAAGGCUUCAUGAGGCUCAACUAUUGAAAUAUUCCGUAAUAAAUUACAGACGUGCCAAAUUCAGAAUUCAAGAUUUUCGUAAGGAUCUUCGUUUUCGUAGUGUAUCUCAUGAACAUAAUCUUUGUCCACAAAGAGCACAUUGAACUUACCGCGAUGCAUUAAAUAUUGCAAAAAGCCCCAGUGGCUAACUGGAAUGAUGGGCUUUUGACACGAGGAUGCUCACAACCUUGUAACAACAGAAGCCUGUGGAAAAAGGCCUUGAGUAACUGGUAAGAAGAAAGGGGUUGGAUCAGAGAGGAUGAGGAAUUCCCUUAAUUACAGAAACAAAACAUGCGCAAUCUUGGGAAGAACUUUAGCUAUUUCAAGGAAAAUGAUCCAUUGACAAUUACCACUGUCAAGUUUAAACGGACAGAUUUUUAUACAGCUGUAUCAAAGAACUACAACCUAACAUCUAAACCGUUAAAUCUACAAGGGUUUCCAAUCGUAAAUAACCUCAAGAAGUGUAGGCUACUUUUUGAAAAUAGGAUGGGAAAAAAAAAGCCCUCAAGUUGUCAAGUCUUAAUGUUGCAAUUAAUAAAAAAUGCUGAGAACCUCU